GACGAACGCUGGCGGCGUGCUUAACACAUGCAAGUCGAACGGAAAGGCCUGCUUUCCCUUGUGGAUUGCGGGUACUCGAGUGGCGAACGGGUGAGUAACACGUGAGUGAUCUGCCCCCAACUUGGGUAUAAGCCUGGGAAACUGGGUCUAAUUCCCGAUAGGACUGCAGGGUGGUGCCUGUGGUGGAAAACGAUUUUCUAGUGGUUGGGGAUGAGCUCGCGGCCUAUCAGCUUGUUGGUGGGGUAAUGGCCUACCAAGGCGGCGACGGGUAGCCGGCCUGAGGGGGUGGACGGCCACAUUGGGACUGCGAUACGGCCCAGACUCCUACGGGAGGCAGCAGUGGGGAAUAUGGCACAAUGGGCGGAAGCCUGAUGCAGCGACGCCGCGUGGGGGAUGACGGCCUUCGGGUUGUAAACUCCUUUCGACCGCGAGGAAGCCACCUGGUUGGAAGGGUGGUGACGGUAGUGGUAGAAGAAGCACCGGCUAACUACGUG
rnacentral:rRNA from 1 species